GGACGCCAUGGUAGCCACGGAUAGAGGACUCGAACUCGUCACUACGAACGUCUAGGGCACAGAGCAAGCCCGUGCCAGGUUUCGAUCAGUGUUCGAAAAAUCGGCCUUGGCACUAGGCUGGAGGACACCGACUCCAGCGAGUUAGGCGGCCUGGAAGGAUCUAGGCGGCGCCAUUGUGGCCUGGAAGGAUCUAGGCGGCCUGGGCAGAUCUAGGCGGCUCCUAGGCGGCCUGGGCGGAUCUAGGCGGCGCCUAGGCGGCCUGGGAGGAUCUAGGCGGCCUGGGAGGAUCUAGGUGGCCUGGGCGGGUCGUGUCCAUAGUUACAAUCAACUUAGGCAUGCAUAGUUUUCCAAAAAUUUACAGGCAGUAAAACAGAGAAAAGACGCGAAUCAUGGAGUUACCAAUCCUUCGAUCUGAACAACUCUGAGGGGGGAAGCAACCUCUUCUGUCGCUGCCACCUGAAGAAAGGAUCUUGCCACCGCUGUACAACCAACAAAACUAAACUAAAUUUUCACAAAGAAGAAACACAAACGCGUUCAAAUUUACAGAUAAAAAUACAGAUAGAGAAUUGUACGAAAGGGUUGCAACGAGUAAUUUCACGGAGAGAGCAAAAGAAGAGAAGAGAGACAGAGCAAUAGUAUAAGAUGGGAAGCUUUGUCUCUCACGGGUGCGGAGGAACCUCUGUGUAUGGUGAAUGUGAA
rnacentral:lncRNA from 1 species